rnacentral:rRNA from 1 species
GAUGAACGCUGGCGGUAUGCUUAACACAUGCGAGUCGAACGGACUCUUCGGAGUUAGUGGCGGACGGGUGAGUAACGCGUGAGAAUCUGGCUUUGGGUUCGGGACAACCACUGGAAACGGUGGCUAAUACCGGAUGUGCCGAGAGGUAAAAGAGAAAUUGCCUGAAGAUGAGCUCGCGUCUGAUUAGCUAGUUGGUGAGGUAAAGGCUCACCAAGGCAGCGAUCAGUAGCUGGUCUGAGAGGAUGACCAGCCACACUGGGACUGAGACACGGCCCAGACUCCUACGGGAGGCAGAAGUGGGGAAUUUUCCGCAAUGGGCGAAAGCCUGACGGAGCAAUACCGCGUGAGGGAAGAAGGCUCUUGGGGUGUAAACCUCUUUUCUUAGGGAAGAACAAAAUGACGGUACCUAAGGAAUCAGCAUCGGCUAACUCCGUG